UUUUUCCCGAAUCCCUGCACCCGUAUCCAUCUCUAGAUCCAUAUUCCCGAAUCUUUAAAUUGAGACCGUGAAGGAUCCGACCUCUAGAUCCGUAUCCGUAUCAAACACCCGCACCCAGGUCGGAGCAACUUAGAUCCGGUGUGCCAAUUACUAUCUAGGAAUGAUGUCAUUACUUACGUGUCAAUAAGACCGCAGGUGAACAAUCUUCAUUUACCAACAUCAUAUCCAGUCCAGUCAACAGCUGAGACUUGCCAGUUUAUAUUUCUGGAGGAAGCAGAAAUAUGAAAUUUUUAAUUAGGCUAUCGUAUAUCAAUAAAGUAAACUAGAAUUAGUAUACCAUGGAAGCAAGUAUUAAAUUAGCCUUUCACUUACCUGCUUAUCGUCUCCUGCAAGUAUUUUCAAUCAUUAUCAAGGAGUUACAAAAGAAAAAGAACUGCAGAAGAUCAACAAAAUCGACUAGAAGAAGUUGAAUUACAUAUUAUCAAUCAUACUGCACCUACUCAAAUUUUAAAGCUGCAACAAUUUGUUCAGCUAUGAGUACUUGAUAUCUUUUGAAUCUUUUAUCUUUCUAUAGAAGACAUGCUUCAGCAGUGGUCAACAAUGACAUAACUUAUAAUGUCACAUAAGUAAAACUAAGAAAGAUGUAUGGUAUCUAAACAAAAUAAUGUCAAACACAAAACAAAUGCUAGAAAUAGCUCCACAUCCUUGCCCUUUUCAAACCACGAGGAGCUCAUACAUUCUAUCUAGUUUUAUCAGAGUAUCAGGCUCACGAUUUCCUGAAGCUAUGUUAAAUGUAUCCGAUGUAUAUUUUCCUCUCCAAGUUUUUGUAAUGAAAUGGCUGUGAAUGAGAACAUUAUCCAAUCUAGCAAGCUCAUUUCUUGCUUGUUUAAAGCUUUUAACUUAACAAUUUUCUACAUUUAAAUCUAGCUGUAAAUAAAUAAUUUCUAAAGACCAAAUUAACUAAAAGAUUAAAGUAUAACUGAUUUUCUUACUCUCCCUCUCCUCCUCCCUUUAUUACCUUUCUUACACUCGUUAUGUCUCAGUUUCUGUCAACCCGACUGGCGACUUCGGAGUUAAUUUAGCUGUUCUAACAGGCUUAUGCAGCAACCCUUCCUAAAUCCUAACUACAAAUACUUGCAAAUAGAUUUUGCAAGAGAAGAAGUUCAGAACUGAGGUUAGCACUCUAUAUUUGGUACUUCCUUACUCCAGAUUGGUGUCAAUUGACAGCUUCUUUCUUUCUUGUUUUGCAAGCUUAAAUCUCCUAAAAGUAGCAUGAGCUUUUAAUGUUUUCACAAUAAAUGGUUGAACUGAUGCUUUAUGUUCUUAGGGGGUUAGGCCUUGUACUUGCACUAACUCCUGAAUCUGAACUCUAUUAUCUUAAAGAGUAUUCACAAAAUUGUUUUAGAGUGAAUAUUUCCAGAUUCAUUAGCCAACUACUUUUUUGGUGUAAAGUAAAUACGCAAUCUUUUUUGGAUGCAAAUAGAAUAUACAAAUUUUAUCAUCAUGAUAUACAAGUUAUCUGAUUCCAGAGUCCACAUGCAGCCAGAAGUCCCCUUUCAAACAGCAUAGCUAUCCGGUGCUAAGUUACUCGGAUUCUUCACUUUCGGUACCGCACCCGUGUCGACACGACAUGGAUGUGGGAUCCGUUUGACCAAAAUCGGUUGGGAAAGUACGGACAGAUUUAAGAAGUUAUGUAAUCAAAACAAAUGCUAAGAUGAAUUGAAGAAAAUGGAAUGCCUUGUAUAUAGAAAUUUUUAUGUUAUUACUUUUCUUUUUAUCUCCUUUCAGGAUUUUCUUCUUAGAACAAUUUUUGUCCUCUAGUUUUUCACAUAAUAUCUCAUAAUUUAUGUUUUAUAACUCUACUUUUAGAUAUUUAAACUAUUUUUUCCCGAAUCCCUGCACCCGUAUCCAUCUCUAGAUCCAUAUUCCCGAAUCUUUAAAUUGAGACCGUGAAGGAUCCGACCUCUAGAUCCGUAUCCGUAUCAAACACCCGCACCCAGGUCUGAGCAACUUAGAUCCGGUGUGCCAAUUACUAUCUAGGAAUGAUGUCAUUACUUACGUGUCAAUAAGACCGCAGGUGAACAAUCUUCAUUUACCAACAUCAUAUCCAGUCCAGUCAACAGCUGAGACUUGCCAGUUUAUAUUUCAUGUCAGUAGACUUCUCCAUCUUAUCAAAAUAAUCAGCACUAUUGAGAAUCCAAAUGGUCCAACCAGUGGUCCACGAAAUGCAACAUUAAUAAAAAAUUUUAGAAGGUUGUCCAUUUGAUUUUCAAUAUGCCAAUUCUGUUUUCCCAUCCUUUCAAGGCCAAAAGAAUGAGUUUUGAUUGAUGCCAACGUGCAUUUCUGGAAAAUUGUUAAACAUAUGAUUUAUCCAGUCCAACUCAAAGGGGAUUGGUGAUAUAUAUCCAGGUUCAUAAGAUAGCUACCUAAUUCUUUUUUUGAUAACCAUGGUGUCCGGGCCAGCUUUCGCGCACCUCGACUAGUUCCAGGGGAUACCUGCCACCUCCCACCAGCAACAACUGCCAGGUAACUUCAUCCACCAAGGCUAGGAUAGAUGGGAAGAAUCACCUAACGUCUCUGUCGGGAUUUGAACCUGAGAUUUCAUGGUUCUCACCCACUUCAUUGACCACUAGCCCACACCCUUGGGUGCAAGAUAGCUACCUAACUAGUGUAACCUAAAUUUGGUAGCUUUACUGGAAGGAGUAUCUCAUGAACAUAUGAACAGGAAAGGUACUAUAAAUAUACAAGGGACGAGGACAUUGGUCUCACCCAUUCACAACUUUUGAUUUUCACUCGAACAUACUCUUUUGCACCAUCAUUGAACAACUCUCUGGUCAAAUAAGAAUUUUCCUACCACGGUUGGAACUGAGAGGUCUAUCUUGGAAUGUGACCUAAGAAAAUACUAGCAGCAAAGAAGAGUCCCAAUCCUGCAUAGUCUUUAUCUAUCAUUGCUGUUUAUCCUCUUAGAGAGACUUCUACUUCUUGAAUUUCCUAACCUAAAAGAGAUUCAUCAUUCAUGUGUAUAGGAGAAUAAGUCUACCUGCGUUCGAAAUGGGGAGCUUGACAUGGAUCUUUUUCAGGUUAGAGAAUUCAAAGAGGAGAAGAGAUUUCUGAUUAAAGUUGUACAUAGUUACAUUAGGUAAGCUAAUAAAUUAGUUGUUCGAACUAAUUAAACUGGUGGUUAGAUUUCUGUAUAUAAGGGGCAUUGCUCAAGUGUACGCUAGAAAUGGAGAUAAUUUAUACAUUUUCUGAAAUUUGGACAAAACUCUAGUCCUUUUACUCUCACUCCCUUUCUCACUUAGCUAGUCUUAAUCAGCUGAAUUUAGUUCAGCUUCUAACAGAUACAACGCGCAAAAUCU
rnacentral:lncRNA from 1 species